rnacentral:rRNA from 1 species
UACGAAGGGGGCUAGCGUUGCUCGGAAUCACUGGGCGUAAAGGGUGCGUAGGCGGGUCUUUCAGUCAGCGGUGAAAUCCUGGAGCUCAACUCCAGAACUGCCUUUGAUACUGAGGAUCUUGAGUUCGGGAGAGGUGAGUGGAACUGCGAGUGUAGAGGUGAAAUUCGUAGAUAUUCGCAAGAACACCAGUGGCGAAGGCGGCUCACUGGCCCGAUACUGACGCUGAGGCACGAAAGCGUGGGGAGCAAACAGG